GAGCCUGGUAGUUUAAUGAACAUUGAUAAAACUGCAAAUUUGUAAAGGUUUUUAGAAGCGCAUGUGGCGUAUUAAGCUACAGAGAUAAAGAUUCUGUAAUUUAUACCUUAAUUCUUCACCUCAUCCUAUGUCCUCAGAAUUUAAAGUAUAUCAAAGACGCAGACCAAAAAAACAUUUCCCAUGAAGUAUAUCGACUAAUACUCCAAAUGCUACACUUUUUAAAGCGUUAUUGUAUGCCAUGGAGAAUUAUAGAUAGCAUUAUCUGAGCGAUACGCUGUUGCAAGCUGCACAGCAGAACCCUGUAACUAAUCAGUGCCACAAAAUAACAGGAAAAGCAAGACUGAAUAACAUGAGAUCCUUUCAGGUGGAGGAGCUGCUGCCUGGAGAGCAGAUACCACCGCUGGUCCAGAAAUUGCCCAUGGCUUUGUGGGUGGUGCCACCAUUUUUUUCCCUGCCUGAAGUCAAGUUUAGCUAACCCCCUCCCCCACCUCAGCAUGUCUAGCUUUCAUAAGCAUUACUGUAGGUAUGUAAGGCUGAGUCUGUUCACCCAGGUCUCCCAGCUGGUGAUGAGCUGAGCUGUUUCAUAGGGCCGUACUCUAAGGAUCAAGCUUAAUUUGCCUAAGCUGUUUAUUUGCAAUAGCUUCAGACACAGCAAGGUAGCAACAGAGCGCUAGCGUGAAGAUUAGACAAUUCUUCUUCUUUUUAUAACAAAAA